AUUCUUGGUCAUUUAGAGGAAGUAAAAGUCGUAACAAGGUUUCCGUAGGUGAACCUGCGGAAGGAUCAUUAUUGAAUAAACCUGAUGUGACUGUUAGCUGGCUUUUCGAAGCAUGUGCUCGUCCAUCAUCUUUAUCUCUCCACCUGUGCACAUUUUGUAGUCUUGNAUACCUCUCGAGGAAACUCGGAUUUGAGGAUCGCCGUGCUGUACAAGUCGGCUUUUCUUUCAUUUCCAAGACUAUGUUUUUAUAUACACCAAAGUAUGUUUAUAGAAUGUCAUCAAUGGGAACUUGUUUCCUAUAAAAUUAUACAACUUUCAGCAACGGAUCUCUUGGCUCUCGCAUCGAUGAAGAACGCAGCGAAAUGCGAUAAGUAAUGUGAAUUGCAGAAUUCAGUGAAUCAUCGAAUCUUUGAACGCACCUUGCGCUCCUUGGUAUUCCGAGGAGCAUGCCUGUUUGAGUGUCAUUAAAUUCUCAACCUUCCAACUUUUAUUAGCUUGGUUAGGCUUGGAUGUGGGGGUUGCGGGCUUCAUCACUGAGGUCGGCUCUCCUUAAAUGCAUUAGUGGAACUUUUGUGGACCAUCUAUUGGUGUGAUAAUUAUCUACGCCGUGGGUGUGAAGCAGUUUUAUGAAGUUCUGCUUCUAACCGUCCAUUGACUUGGACAAUUUUGACAAUUUGACCUCAAAUCAGGUAGGACUACCCGCUGAACUUAAGCAUAUCAAUAAGCGGAGGAAAAGAAACUAACAAGGAUUCCCCUAGUAACUGCGAGUGAAGCGGGAAAAGCUCAAAUUUAAAAUCUGGCAGUCUUUGGCUGUCCGAGUUGUAAUCUAGAGAAGUAUUAUCCGCGCUGGACCGUGUACAAGUCUCCUGGAAU
rnacentral:sRNA from 1 species